rnacentral:miRNA from 1 species
UUGGCAUUAAAGGAAGCUAGUU